GUGUCAGCCGCCGCGGUAAUACGGAGGGUGCGAGCGUUAAUCGGAAUUACUGGGCGUAAAGCGCGCGUAGGCGGUUUGUUAAGUCGGAUGUGAAAUCCCCGGGCUCAACCUGGGAAUGGCAUUCGAUACUGGCCGACUAGAGUACGAGAGAGGGAGGUAGAAUUCCACGUGUAGCGGUGAAAUGCGUAGAUAUGUGGAGGAAUACCGGUGGCGAAGGCGGCCUCCUGGCUCGAUACUGACGCUGAGGUGCGAAAGCGUGGGUAGCAAACAGGAUUAGAAACCCGCGUAGUCC
rnacentral:rRNA from 1 species